rnacentral:lncRNA from 1 species
UAUAUUAGGUCUCACAUGGAGUUGCUCUGCCUGUCUGGUAUGGUGUAAUUUGUUGCUCAAAUGUAUCAGCAUACAUUUGUUUUUCAACGUUAACACAAAUACAAUAAGUGUGCAUCAAUCGAGUUUAGCGUUAUUGUGCAGCUGUGACAAACCAAACCUUUCAUCUUAUGGGUCUUUAUUUUCUGAAGCACAUUCACACAUCUAUGGUAGCUGUACCCAUGGUUGAAAUUGGUUAUUAGGCUGGUGAGUUGUAUUUAUUGGGGAGAAAGUGAGCACUUCAAAAAGUGCCCUUUGUUGUAAACUUGUACAUUACAAGUUAAACAUCUAGUUUUGACAAGGCAGAAAAGAUAGGCUAGCUGCUUUUAAAACAGCAUGUAGGUUUACAUUGCUUAAGUUACAGCACAACAUGUCACCUUAUUACGGAUGUGCCAAGGAGGAAUUGUUAUGACACAGAUUUGAGGUAUUAUUCUCAUAUUUGUAUUUUGCAAUUAUUUCUCAAAUAAAUAAUGAAAAGGAAGAACUUGAAUUUGAAUGUUUGCUAUCAAUUCACAAAACUUGUUUAUCAGAAAUUUAUGGUUUAAUUACCUGUAAAAUUUUAAUCCUGCGAUCGGAAAUUGACAUUUAUAUGUCUUGAUUGCAUGCGUGCUACCAUCCUGAUUGAUUAUAUGCAAAAAAGUUACUCUAUUGCCGUUUCUUUGCAAAUGGAGACAACUAGAUGAUGAUGCUACUCCUUGAGCUUGAAAACUGCUACAUUUGCUACACAUAUACCUCAGCAAAGGACUGGCUUGGAAACUUGGGGUUUAGUACCUGAAGAGCGAGCCAUGGAGUUGAACACUGGCUUUUAGAAACUUAUUUCCUUUGGGAAAUAAUGUGUGGGAGGGGAUAGACCAGGAAAAGCUAUAACAGAUUAGAAGUUUUUCUUUUGAAAAGCCACUACUUGCUGCUUCAUUGAUAUAUAAGCAUAAUUUUUAUAGUUCAUGAUUCGUGUUUCUUAUUUCAGACACAAGUUUGCAUACAGAAGUGUCCCCUUGUGCAGAAGAUUACUCAGAAAUUGGCUUUGUAUUGAAGAUUCCAAGACACAAUAUGAGAAAAUGAAGGCAAUUGUGUGAAGUAUAGGUUGCUGCAGUGCUUGAAAGAACACAAGAUUCUGCUGAAUCAUGUAAUUUUUGUAUAUGAAGUUUAUGAGGUUUGAUAAUCUGUUAGGAAAAUGAUAUAUAUCGUGGAUGCUUAUGUCGACUUUUUAGUUGUUCAUUACGUGGAUAAGCAUUAAUGAUAUUUUUUUUGGAGGAAUGUGUAAUAAGUGGGGUCUUCCCAUAAUUCCUUGUAAUUCGACAUAAAAUUUUCACAAUAAUAGCAGAACUCAAUCUAUUAUAUUAAAGGAG